CUGUCUCUUAUUUAAUUAUAAAAUUUAAUUUUUUUAUUAAAAAGUUAAAAUGUAUUAAAAAGACGAGAAGACCCUAUAGAGUUUAAUAAAUUAUUAAAUUGAGAUUAUAUGUAAAUUAAACUUGAAAUUGAGUUAUUUAUUUUGUUGGGGUGACAAAAAAAUAUAUUAAACUUUUUUUAUUUAAAAACAUUUAUAAGUGGUUAAAUGAUCCAAUAAUGUUGAUUAUAAGAAAAAAUUACCUUAGGGAUAACAGCGUAAUUUUUUUUUUUAGUUCAAAUAAGAAAAAGAGUUUGCGACCUCGAUGUUGGAUUAAGAUAAAAUUUAAA
rnacentral:rRNA from 1 species